CAUCAGUUCAACGUCUACUGCCCUACUAACAAAUACCCACAUGGCACAGACAUCAGUUCAACGUCUACUGCCCUACUAACAAGUACCCACAUGGCACAGACAUCAGUUCAACGUCUACUGCCCUACUAACAAGUACCCACAUGGCACAGACAUCAGUUCAACGUCUACUACCCUACUAACAAGUACCCACAUGGCACAGACAUCAGUUCAACGUCUACUGCCCUACUAACAAGUACCCACAUGGCACAGACAUCAGUUCAACGUCUUGUUUUGAUUUACAGUUGGUUGAGUUGUCAAUUCAGUGUGAAAUCAACAACAAAAAAAUUCAUUGGAUUUAGGUUAAACGUUGGGUGAAAAAAAGACGAAAUGCUGAUUACUUUUUGCAAGUCCAAUUAUUGUUCCAUGUUGAUUCAACGUCAUGACAUAGAUUUUUGGGGUUGAAAUUAUGUGGAAACAAUGUUGAUUCAACCAGUCUUUGCCUAGAGGGUAGACUAUCAUCAUUUUAGUCUAUAUUCACUUGAAACUAUCACUGUGUUAUUUUAUUUAAGAGGUUUAUUGGUCAUUUGUAAACCUAAAACACAGGACAAGAAUACUUUUGUCUAUGUAAUAGAAAAUAAUAAAGUUGUACUUUUUUACAGCCACCUACAUGGGGUCUGCCAUACAUUUCCUACGAUUACACAAAUGCACCUACAGUAUGAUAGCUUUGUAUUGCAAAUACCCUUUAGCUAAUGAACAGUACUGAAAAAUGUAGUAUUUUAACACAUUUAGCUCCAAGGAUGAAAGUAAAGGCCACAAAUGUAUUUGAAAUGCCCAUUUAUGACAUGGUAACUUAAUUUACAAUGACGAUAUGGAGGUAAUGGGCAUUAUGUUUACAUGAAUAAAUGCCAUCAGUGGUGAUAGCUUCAUGUUGCACCAUUUGAAUAAAAAAUCUGCUUUGUAUAUGCGAGCGUUCUUGUUUGGGAUUCAUUCAAAUAAUGAACAAAUGUAUAAUGUGCUUAAUAUUGAAUUGGGUUGCGUUAGGCUGUGGAUAUUUAGUUGUUGUAUUUGUUGUGGUAUUUCAAUGUUGUUAACAUGUGAAGCUGCAAAAAAUGCUGGAAAAAAAUGUGUAAACAUCACAAUAUACACUGAGUGUACAGAACAUUAGGACCACCUUCCUAAUAAUGAGCCCCCAGAACAGCCUCAAUUCAUCAGGCCAGGGACUCUACAAGGUGUGGAAAGCGUUCCACAUGGAUGCUGGCCCAUGUUGACUCCAAUGCUUCCCACAGUUGUGUCAAAUUUUCUGGAUGUCCUUUAGUUGGUGGACCAUUCUUGAUACAUACAGGAAACGGUUGAGUGUGAAAAACUGUUGUGUUGCAGUUCUUGACACAAACCAGUGUGUCUGGCACCUACUACCAUACCCUAUUCAAAUGAACAUCAAUCUGUUGUCUUGCCCAUUCACCCUCUGAAUGGCACACAUUCACAAUCCAUGUCUCAAUUGUCUCAAGGCUUAAAAAUCCUUGUUUCACCUGGAUUCACCUGGCCAGUCUAUGUCAUGUUUAGUACACUCAGUAUAUUUUAUUAUAAACAAUCUGUAAAGAAUGUGUAUCUUUCUAUUUGACAGAAGAGCAUGACAGCAGAAUUGACAGAAGAUCAUGACAUAGCAGAAUUGACAGAAGAGCAUGCCAUAACAGAAUAGACAGAAGAGCAUGACAUAGCGGAAUUGACAGAAGAGCAUGACAUAGCAGAAUUGACAGAAGAUCAUGACAUAGCAGAAUUGACCGAAAAUCAUGAUAGCAGAAUUGACAGAAGAGCAUGCCAUAGCAGAAUAGACAGAAGAGUAUGACAUAGCGGAAUUGACAGAAGAGCAUGACAUAGCAGAAUUGACAGAAGAGCAUGCCAUAGCAGAAUAGACAGAAGAAAUAGACAGAAGAGCAUGACAUAGCGGAAUUGACAGAAGAGCAUGACAUAGCAGAAUUGACAGAAGAUCAUGACAUAGCAGAAUUGACCGAAAAUCAUGAUAGCAGAAUUGACAGAAGAGCAUGCCAUAGCAGAAUAGACAGAAGAGUAUGACAUAGCGGAAUUGACAGAAGAGCAUGACAUAGCAGAAUUGACAGAAGAGCAUGCCAUAGCAGAAUAGACAGAAGAGUAUGACAUAGCGGAAUUGACAGAAGAGCAUGACAUAGCAGAAUUGACAGAAGAUCAUGACAUAGCAGAAUUGACCGAAGAUCAUGACAUAGCAGAAUUGACCGAAAAUCAUGAUAGCAGAAUUGACAGAAGAGCAUGCCAUAGCAGAAUAGACAGAAGAUCAUGCCAUAGCAGAAUAGACAGAAGAUCAUGACAUAGCAGAAUUGACAGAAGAUCAUGACAUAGCAGAAUUGACCUAAAAUCAUGAUAGCAGAAUUGACAGAAGAGCAUGCCAUAGCAGAAUAGACAGAAGAGCAUGACAUAGCAGAAUUGACAGAAGAGCAUGACAUAGCGGAAUUGACAGAAGAUCAUGACAUAGCAGAAUUGACCGAAGAUCAUGACAUAGCAGAAUUGAAAGAAGAUCAUGACAUAGCAGAAUUGACCGAAGAUCAUGACAUAGCAGAAUUGACCGAAGAUCAUGACAUAGCAGAAUUGACCGAAAAUCAUGACAUAGCAGAAUUGACAGAAGAUCAUGACAUAGCAGAAUUGACCGAAGAUCAUGACAUAGCAGAAUUGACCGAAGAUCAUGACAUAGCAGAAUUGACCGAAGAUCAUGACAUAGCAGAAUUGACCGAAGAUCAUGACAUAGCAGAAUUGACAGAUCAUGAGUCCCUUUUCUUUUUGCAACAACACAUUUAACAUUCCACUUAAAUCUCUUCUAUACUGCAUAUCAAAACAACAAUGGAUUACAUAGUAUUACAUAACAAAUAUGGAUCAUUCCUAUACAUUUUAAAUUACUUCUCUCACUACUGCUUAUCUCAACAAUGCAGAAUUAGCACCAUACAGUCAUACAAGUCUUAUUUUGAAAUAGACCCAAUAUAUCAUGUUUGAGAAUUGUUAUUAUAACUUAUGUCCUUAAAACAGAGGCGGAGUCCCUAAUGGAGCCCUUUGCCCUAGGGCCCUGGCCAAAGGUAGUGCACAAUCUAGGGAAUAGGUUGCCAUUUGGGCGCAUCCAGCGAGGCCAAACACAGAUAACAAGCUAAUACCCCCCACCCAAUGCAAUACAGAUCACCAUGCCUAUAUUAAGCAUAGAAGCCCAACCAGUUCAUAUUGUGGUGUCUUCUGUACUUUGGCUACAGGUGUACAAUAGUAGUGAUCCUAGUAAAAGGACUUGCUCAAUGACUCUCCAAUGAAGCCCCAAAUUAUUUAGGCUUUAGUGUUUUUUUCUUGUACAUACGGUCUUAUUUGUGCAGUUUACUUGUUUAGUAUUUUUCUAAUAUUUGUAGUGUUCUUCUUUUGAAAUUAUGUUUCAUGUACAGUACAAUGAUGAUGUGUUUUUCAUGUGAAGAAGUUACUGAUUUUGAGGAAGUUAUGCUAUUUAACUAACUAAAGGUCUUGCUAUAUAACAUCAUGUCUAGUCUAGGUCCAUUAUGUAGCCUGGUCUUAUGUUUGUUCAGCACCAUAUUUCAAAUAAAAUGCAUUUUAUAUAUUGUGAUUCAAAGCUGUUCUGAAGCAGGUUGUUGAUGCCAGAAUCCACAUUUUUACAAUGCCCUUUUUUGCUAAUAUUGUAGUUUUGCCAAGAAACCGGAUUUGAGGAAAUACAGAGUAUCAAAUAGGAACAUAGUUUGCUACUUAUUUUUAUUUCAAUUGUAUUUAUCCAUUUUGGCUUUCUCUAAACAGGUUUUGCUGCUAUACAGUAAUGCUCUCAAAACGUAUUUUAAAAACAUAUUAUGACCCACCAUAAGGUUAUCUAAGUGUAUGUAGCAGCUUAACGUUUCUGAUAUUGUAUUCACAACUGCUUGUCAUUUUAUUUUAGUCAAAUAAAUGUUUCGUGUGUUAA
ensembl:lncRNA